AGUACACAUUACACUGGUUUUAAGGUCUCUGUACUGUAAAACAUACAGAAUGCUGCAGCACAGGUACUGACCAAGACCAGACAGAGAGCACACAUUACACUGGUUUUAAGGUCUCUGUACUGUAAAACAUACAGAAUGCUGCAGCACGGGUACUGACCAAGACCAGACAGAGAGCACACAUUACACUGGUUUUAAGGUCUCUGUACUGUAAAACAUACAGAAUGCUGCAGCACGGGUACUGACCAAGACCAGACAGAGAGCACACAUUACACUGGUUUUAAGGUCUCUGUACUGUAAAACAUACAGAAUGCUGCAGCACAGGUACUGACCAAGACCAGACAGAGAGCACACAUUACACUGGUUUUAAGGUCUCUGUACUGUAAAACAUACAGAAUGCUGCAGCACAGGUACUGACCAAGACCAGACAGAGAGCACACAUUACACUGGUUUUAAGGUCUCUGUACUGUAAAACAUACAGAAUGCUGCAGCACAGGUACUGACCAAGACCAGACAGAGAGCACACAUUACACUGGUUUUAAGGUCUCUGUACUGUAAAACAUACAGAAUGCUGCAGCACAGGUACUGACCAAGACCAGACAGAGAGCACACAUUACACUGGUUUUAAGGUCUCUGUACUGUAAAACAUACAGAAUGCUGCAGCACAGGUACUGACCAAGACCAGACAGAGAGCACACAUUACACUGGUUUUAAGGUCUCUGUACUGUAAAACAUACAGAAUGCUGCAGCACAGGUACUGACCAAGACCAGACAGAGAGCACACAUUACACUGGUUUUAAGGUCUCUGUACUGUAAAACAUACAGAAUGCUGCAGCACAGGUACUGACCAAGACCAGACAGAGAGUACACAUUACACUGGUUUUAAGGUCUCUGUACUGUAAAACAUACAGAAUGCUGCAGCACAGGU